CAGCUGCCGCCCAUAGCUC
rnacentral:snRNA from 1 species